GACGAACGCUGGCGGCGUGCUUAACACAUGCAAGUCGAACGGUGAAGCGCUUGCCUUUUUGGUGGGUGUGGAAGAGUGGCGAACGGGUGAGUAACACGUGAGUAACCUGCCCUCUUCUUCUGGAUAACCUCAUGAAAGUGGGGCUAAUACGGGGUAUUCCGGGUCUGUCGCAUGGCGGGUUUGGGAAAGAUUGCGCCUUUGGGUGUUUUCGGUGGGGGAUGGGCUCGCGGCCUAUCAGCUUGUUGGUGGGGUGAUGGCCUACCAAGGCGGUGACGGGUAGCCGGCCUGAGAGGGUGGACGGCCACACUGGGACUGAGACACGGCCCAGACUCCUGCGGGAGGCAGCAGUGGGGAAUAUUGCACAAUGGGCGCAAGCCUGAUGCAGCGACGCCGCGUGAGGGAUGGAGGCCUUCGGGUUGUGAACCUCUUUCGCCAGUGAAGCAGGCCUGCUCCUGUGUGGGUGGGUUGACGGUAGCUGGAUAAGAAGCGCCGGCUAACUACGUG
rnacentral:rRNA from 1 species